GACGAACGCUGGCGGCGUGCUUAACACAUGCAAGUCGAACGGAAAGGCCCUGCUUUUGUGGGGUGCUCGAGUGGCGAACGGGUGAGUAACACGUGAGUAACCUGCCCUUGACUUUGGGAUAACUUCAGGAAACUGGGGCUAAUACCGGAUAGGAGCUCCUGCUGCAUGGUGGGGGUUGGAAAGUUCCGGCGGUUUGGGAUGGACUCGCGGCUUAUCAGCUUGUUGGUGGGGUAGUGGCUUACCAAGGCUUUGACGGGUAGCCGGCCUGAGAGGGUGACCGGCCACAUUGGGACUGAGAUACGGCCCAGACUCCUACGGGAGGCAGCAGUGGGGAAUAUUGCACAAUGGGCGGAAGCCUGAUGCAGCAACGCCGCGUGCGGGAUGACGGCCUUCGGGUUGUAAACCGCUUUCGCCUGUGACGAAGCGUGAGUGACGGUAAUGGGUAAAGAAGCACCGGCUAACUACGUG
rnacentral:rRNA from 1 species